UACGAAGGGGGCUAGCGUUGUUCGGAAUCACUGGGCGUAAAGGGCGCGUAGGCGGCCGAUCAAGUCGGGGGUGAAAGCCUGUGGCUCAACCACAGAAUUGCCUUCGAUACUGUUUGGCUUGAGACCGGAAGAGGUUAGUGGAACUGCGAGUGUAGAGGUGAAAAUUCGUAGAUAUUCGCAAGAACACCAGUGGCGAAGGCGGCUGACUGAUCCGGUUCUGACGCUGAGGCGCGAAACGUGGGGGACAAACAGG
rnacentral:rRNA from 1 species